GCCCCUCUAGCUCAAUGGAAGAGCAGUGGACUUUUAAUCCAUUGGUUCAGGGUUCGAGCCCCUGGGGGGGCACCA
rnacentral:tRNA from 2 species